AAGCGCUCCACUUCUUCAUCUUCUUUAUUUUUUUUUUUCUAAUUUUGUUGUCCUCCGUUUGUACGGCUGGUGGUGUGGUGUGGUGUGGUAAUUUCGUAAACCCCGACGGGUCUAUGAUCUUUUGUAUUCAACCGAUCAUGGCUACUAGUUCGUUCGUUCCUACCGGUGAAAUCUUCUCUAGGGUCUUUUUCAAGCGAAUUCUUCGCUAGGGUUUGGGUCUCUCUCAAAUUCCAUCAGUAGGGUUUGGGUCGCUCUGUUAUUCUUCUUCACGAGUCGUCCUACGGUUUGGUUUAUUAAAUCUUAUUUUUAGGUUUGCUGUUGUAGAUUGUGCUGGUAGAUAAUGCUAUGAUCGAUCUAUAUAUUUUCUCAGGCACUUCGUUCUCGCUUCUUAGUUUUCAAACUUUGGGUUUUCUAAAUUGCAAUCGUAUUCACUUGUCGUUUUGUUUUGUUUUGUUGAUUUAGAUUUUGUGGAGGAGGAGGAGGAUGCGCUACGAUUGAUCUGUGAUGGCUUUGAUUGAUGCAGGUCGUAGUUGAGGUAGUGUGGGAUUGCUCUGUUAAAUUCUUAUGAUUCUGAUAUCUUGUGUUACAUCUUCUAGUCUCUUUAGGUGAUAUGCUUACUUAUUUCUGAGAGCUCCUCUGUUGCACUAGGCUGGACGUACAUGUGAGGUUUUGGAUCAGUUAUGGCUUUGAUGGACACGCUUCACUUCUUCUCUGUGCAACGUCUUCAUUGGUUUUUUGGGAGGGAAUUAUGAUCUGAUCAUCACAUAUUUUUGUCCAUAAUACAUCUUCAGGCCUUCGCACAGGUUAGUGAAGGAUCCUACGAUUGACCGGUGAUGGCUUGACUGAUCGUUGUCACUCUAAUUCAUGUUAUAUGAUCCAUCGGUCAUUAUGGAGGCGUAUACUAAGAAGAUCUAUCGGUCAUAGAUCGUGGAGGCAAUGGGAUUGCUCUGUUGAAUCUUUCUUCUCUUCCUUUCUCUUUUGGCUUCUUCUGAUUUCUCAAGAGGUAUGAUCUGUCCUCUGUGUGUCUUUUAUCGGUUGUUUCCAAAUUUUCUGCAUCAAGCACUCCUCUCUGUUUCUCUGCUGAUGUCUGUCUACAUAUAUUCAUAUGCAGAUCUGCUAAGUCUGAGCUCUCUGAUGUAGAAGGUUGUAACUGUGGUUUACUCAGGAUACUAGUAAUGUAUAUUGAUCUCACUAGUGAUGUUGGCAUUAUCUUUUUUCUUAGGUAGUGAGGUUCUAAAAGAGAAAAAUGUCAGGUUACUAACUGUUUCUUCCCCUUUAUUUUAUCUGUUGGUCUUAUCUCUCAUGCUACAUUUAUGUUUAGUGUUUGAUCUAAUAUGCUUGUGACGUUUUUUUUUUUUUUUUUUUUUNUUUCUAAUGUGAAAUGCUCAUCCUUUUUUUAAUUGGUAUUUUGUGCUUGAAAGAUGUCUUUGAUCUUGUGGUUCCCUGUUAGCUCUGUCUUAUCUCCUUCUGGUUUAUUCAGGUUUUCCUUCCUCUUACCCUUGGGUAUCUUUUAAGUAACAAUCUGUUUGUUCUCAUAGACUUUGUUAUUGUAUGUUCAGGUUAUCAAUAAUGUCUUCUGAUCUCCCUGGUGAUCAUUUGUUAUAGCAAGGAGGUUCUACAAGAAUUAAAACGUCAGCAUUGGCAGGCCCUGAAGCGAAGGACGGGAACGAGCGGAAUCAUCAUAUCCUUGUGACAGUUUUUUUUUUUUUUUUUUUUUUUU